AAGUCGUAACAAGGUUUCCGUAGGUGAACCUGCGGAAGGAUCAUUAACACGUAUCCAACGUUAAACCCCCCAUGCACACAGAGACCAGCUCCCCUCAAUUUCGGUCUUUUGGCAAUCUCUGGUAUCAGAGACAUCCAAAGGGCCGGGGUAGGGUAUUGAAGUAGUUGUCCCAUGCAAGCAGCCUGGUUUCUUGGAAGCAGAAAGUGUGAUAGAAGAUGUCGGAGAACGGACCGAGUGGUAGUUCGAAGAUGACUUCUGUCGCGCGCUGUGAAAAAGAAGACGCUUUACGAAUCACUGACCAACACGGCCAGUGACCGGGUUCCUGGGUCCUAGACCCCCUGAUCACCCCGACAGUCGCAGACGCGGGUAGGGAUACGUCCUUACCAAAAAAUAAAUACUUGAACAACUGUUAACAAUGGAUAUCUUGGUUCUC
rnacentral:misc_RNA from 1 species